CAGAACUGAAACACUAGCAAGAUGAAUAACGCUAUGUGAAGGGUGACUGUCCAUGGAAGUGUCUAUAUAAUACUCCUACAUCGACCACCCUUGAGAGAAGAGCAAUGUCAUCAGCUUCCUCUCUGAUUGUUUUUCAGUAUCCAAAAGCCAGGCAUGCCACUGUCUACUGGAAGGACGACAGAGUAAAAGAGAGAAAACAGUGGAGAAUUACGUAAACUCACCAACUAGAGCAACAGCCCAGUUACAGAUGAUGGAGGUAAUGAUAACAGAGAAUAUGCUUUCCAUGAUACACUUCCAACAUGGAUGGCUGAGGAACCUGCAUGCAAAAAUCCAACAUGUAUGUAUAUAUGAUGAACACUAGAAGUGCAGUAUCACUUCUUGUUUCAGCUGAAUAAAGGCAGCAAAGAUAUUUGCAUCUGUUAAUAUGAUGAUGAUAACAUCCCAAUGAAUUCUAA